rnacentral:ncRNA from 1 species
UAGAACUUUUUCUGUUCUCUUACCAUUCAUAAAAUGACAUAUUUUGUGAAUUAUUCCUUAGUAAAUACCAUAACAACUUGUAAGUAGUUUAUUGGAAUUUUAAGGUUAAAAUGCCAUAAAGUUUUACAUUUCGUAUUCAGACUUGCUCUUUGGGUAGUUUCAGAACAGAGUCAAAUUUACAACAGGUCUUCUGGAAUAGGACUCUGGUUCUAUUUUGUUGCUUUCUGGGAACAGGGCCAUGAUUAAAAGGGAUGGGGGCAUUCAUACUGUGCGGCUAGAGGCGAAAUUCUUGAACUGGAGUAAGGCGGCCUAGAGUGAAAGCAUUUGCUGAGAAUGCUUUCAUUAAUGAAGAAUUAGAGCCAGAGGUUCAAACAUGAUCAGAUACUGUCGUAGUUCUGAUGAUAAAUGAUGCCAACUGGCAAUAAAGUUUUUUGAAGGAGUCUCUGUGGUGCAGUCGGUUAGUGUGUUCGGCU